rnacentral:rRNA from 1 species
UACAGAGGGUGCGAGCGUUAAUCGGAAUUACUGGGCGUAAAGGGCUCGUAGGCGGCCAACUAAGUCAUACGUGAAAUCCCUCAGCUUAACUGGGGAACUGCGUGUGAUACUGGAUGGCUUGGAUUUGGGAGAGGGAUGCGGAAUUCCAGGUGUAGCGGUGAAAUGCGUAGAUAUCUGGAGGAACACCGGUGGCGAAGGCGGCAUUCUGGACCAACACUGACGCUGAGGAGCGAAAGCCAGGGGAGCAAACGGG